AAUUUCUGGCUUGGCAAUUUUGGCCCGGUACGGUAACGUACUGUUUGUGCUGACUGUUGCCGGUCAUCCUUCUGGGUUUAACGGGUCUUUGCCCUUCACGGGGUCGAGGGCUCGCGAACCAGAUCUUUUACUUUGAAAAAAUUAGAGUGUUUAAAGCAGGCGUUUUUGCUAUGAAUACAUUAGCAUGGAAUAAUAAUUUAGGACUUCGGUUCUAUUUUGUUGGUUUCUAGGACUGAAGUAAUGAUUGAUAGGGAUAGUUGGGGGUGCUAGUAUUCAGCGGCCAGAGGUGAAAUUCUCGGAUUCGCUGAAGACUAACUUAUGCGAAAGCAUU
rnacentral:rRNA from 1 species